rnacentral:tRNA from 1 species
GGUCGCUUGGCGCAGUUGGUAGCGCACGGUACUAAUAUUAAUUGCUUGUUAGCUUUAAUAAUAGUAAUGCCGCGGUCAUCGGUUCGAGCCCGAUAGUGACCA